UACGUAGGGACCGAGCGUUGUCCGGAAUCAUUGGGCGUAAAGCGUGCGCAGGCGGUUUUGUAAGUCUGACGUGAAAUCCCCGGGCUCAACCUGGGAAUUGCGAUGGAGACUGCAAGGCUAGAAUCUGGCGAAGAGGGGGGUGAGAAUUCCACGUGUGAGCAGUGAAAUGCGUAGAGAUGUGGAGGAACACCGGAUGGCGCAAGGGCAGCCCC
rnacentral:rRNA from 1 species